rnacentral:rRNA from 1 species
UACGUAGGGGGCAAGCGUUGUCCGGAUUUAUUGGGCGUAAAGAGCGUGUGAGCGGCCUCUGCAAGUCGACUGUGAAAUCUCCGGGCUUAACCCGGAAAGGUCAGCCGAUACUGCAGGGCUAGAGUGCAGAAGGGGCAACUGGAAUUCUCGGUGUAGCGGUGAAAUGCGUAGAUAUCGUCAAGAACACCUAUAGCGAAGGCAGCUUACUGGGCUGUAACUGACGCUGAGGCACGAAAGUGUGGGGAUCAAACAGG